UGUGACGGUAUCUUACCAGAAAGGGACGGCUAACUACGUGCCAGCAGCCGCGGUAAUACGUAGGUCCCGAGCGUUAUCCGGAUUUAUUGGGCGUAAAGCGAGCGCAGGCGGUUAGAUAAGUCUGAAGUUAAAGGCUGUGGCUUAACCAUAGUAUGCUUUGGAAACUGUUUAACUUGAGUGCAGAAGGGGAGAGUGGAAUUCCAUGUGUAGCGGUGGAAUGCGUAGAUAUAUGGAGGAACACCGGUGGCGAAAGCGGCUCUCUGGUCUGUAACUGACGCUGAGGCUCGAAAGCGUGGGUAGCGAACAGGAUUAGAUACCCUGGUAGUCCACGCCGUAAACGAUGAGUGCUAGGUGUUAGGCCCUAUCCGGGGCUUAGUGCCGGAGCUAACGCAUUAAGCACUCCGCCUGGGGAGUACGACCGCAAGGUUGAAACUCAAAGGAAUUGACGGGGGCCCGCACAAGCGGUGGAGCAUGUGGUUUAAUUCGAAGCAACGCGAAGAACCUUACCAGGUCUUGACAUCCCAGUGACCGUCCUAGAGAUAGGGCUUUUCUUCGGAACACUGGUGACAGGUGGUGCAUGGUUGUCGUCAGCUCGUGUCGUGAGAUGUUGGGUUAAGUCCCGCAACGAGCGCAACCCUUAUUGUUAGUUGCCAUCAUUAAGUUGGGCACUCUAGCGAGACUGCCGGUAAUAAACCGGAGGAAGGUGGGGAUGACGUCAAAUCAUCAUGCCCCUUAUGACCUGGGCUACACACGUGCUACAAUGGCUGGUACAACGAGCUGCAAGUCGGUGACGGCAAGCAAAUCUCUUAAAGCCAGUCUCAGUUCGGAUUGUAGGCUGCAACUCGCCUACAUGAAGUCGGAAUCGCUAGUAAUCGCGGAUCAGCACGCCGCGGUGAAUACGUUCCCGGGCCUUGUACACACCGCCCGUCACACCACGAGAGUUUGUAACACCCGAAGUCGGUGAGGUAACCGUUUGGAGCCAGCCGCCUAAGGUGGGAUAGAUGAUUGGGGUGAAGUCGUAACAAGGUAGCCGUAUCGGAAGGUGCGGCUGGAUCACCUCCUUU
rnacentral:rRNA from 1 species